GCCCUUCUCCUGGAAACGGGUGGUAAUGCCGGAUGUUCCACAUGAGCGCAUGCGAGUGUGGGAAAGGCUUUUUGCGGCAUGGGAUGGGGUCGCGUCCUAUCAGCUUGUUGGUGGGGUAACGGCCUACCAAGGCGUUGACGGGUAUCCGCCCUGAGAGUGUGACCGGCCACUUUGGGACUGAUAUACUGCCCAAACUCCCUACGGAGGCAGCGUUGACAAUAU
rnacentral:rRNA from 1 species